CCAUCUUUGUAUGAAAUGUUCCCUUGGUAUCUCUAACUUUCUUGAAGAGAGCUCUAGUCUUUCCCACUCUGUUGUUUUCCCCUAUUUCUUUGCAUUGCUUUCCCUUCACAUAUUUUAAAGUCCCUUUUGAAAAAAUGAUCCAGCCAUUUCUUAACCAAGUUUAAAAAAAAAGAGAGAGAUCUGUUCACACUUAAGCCUGUAUAAAGAUAUCACAAUAGCUGCCAGAAGUCAGGUUACGUUGGUAAAUAGUUGAGUACUCUAGUUUAAAGUUAAAAGUCUGGGGGAAAAAUGUUGAAAUUCAGUUUUGAUUAGAUUAAAUGUUAUAAAUGAUAUUUUUCCCCUCACAAACCAGUAAAAUGUUUCUGAGAUGGCUUGAGUUAUGUCCAUUGUCUAGAAUACUUUGCUUAAUUUGCAUGAGGCACUUGACGGCAAUGCUGAUUUCUGCCAAACCUCUGGCCACUUCUGAUUCAGUGGGAAUGAGGAGACACCUGGGCUCUGCAUUUAUCAUGAACCUCCAGGGACCAUAUUUUGAGAUUGCUCUCCUGACAAUGAGAGGAAGGAUGAUGACCUCUGUCCCAGAAUAAAGCCUUGCAUUGCAGGGGAAUUUUACUAACUCUUCUGAGCCUCAGUUUUCUUUUAUGGAAUAUAAAUAGAUACUUUCUCCUACUAAAAUCACAGGUCUCAGAAAAAGAUUUCAAAAUAAACCGUGUAGGUAAAAGAGAUGAUGAUGCUAAUUACUUAGAAAAGAAAUCUACAUGAGUAAAGAUCUAUUUCAUGGGCUUCUGUAAACUCACCCCCUAAUCCACCAUUGGGCACAGGAAUAUGUGUACGGAAGGUACACAGGAAGCCUGGUGUUUCACGUGAAUGUCCAGAUUUCCCAGGCUCUUAUUGGUAAAGGAACAUUGUCUGCCAAGGAAGGAAGCAUGUGCGCAGCAGAGUAGAUGACUUAAGGGUCUCUGAUAUGAUUUGCACCAGAGAGCAUUUUAUUUCCCCUGUGCUUGGAAACCUCUUCUCCUUCCUGAUAUUAUCACCUCUGAUGGCUGAAGAAUAUGGACAGGUGUGAUGAUCCUGCUUUUCACCAAAAUCUGUACACAGAGGUGAACAGGUGUUCACCUCAUUUGUUUCAGUUUGUUUUACUUUCAGUUCUACGUGAAUUAGCUUUUCUCAGAUGUUAAAACUUCAAAUGUCCUUUUAUGAUUUUGUUUAUACUGCAGUAGUAUUUAUUUUUUAGUGAUGAGAACUGUAUGUCACGUUAGCAAAUGCAGCUCCAACUUACGUAAAAUAGACAUACUGCAGUUUCUUUUGACUCAUGUGCAAGGAGUCUCACUGGCUUGUACUUUCUU